rnacentral:lncRNA from 1 species
GUUAUUAAGCACUGUGUUGUCAUCAUAAAAAACUAGUUUGAUAUAGAGUUUGUGUUGUCAACAAUCUCAACAAAAUUAAAAUAUCAAGUGUGUAUUUUUAAUUCUCUAAUCCUCUAAUGGUAUAAUUAUUAAAAACCAUAAAAAAAAAAAACAUUGCAGUAGUUGAAGGCAAAAAAAGACACAAAAAAGGCUUAGUACUUUUCAGAAAAAAAAAAAAGAAAAAAAAUUACUUCAAUUACAUUACACCAUAUGAAGGACAAACUUAUUGCACUUCACCACACGAAGGACACAAACCAAGGGUUGUUAGCAUAAUAGUGAAAUAAAGGCACGAUGAAUCCGAAACAAAGCACACGAUCAGAGGCAAAUUAGUGAGACCACAGAAGGAGGCACGAUGCGAUGUGACCAUCGAUGACGGAGAGAUUAUGGCCAACAGCGACUGCGAACCAGGGCAAAACACAAGCGAGGACGAAACGUAAGCGACAACUACUGAAUCGCAUAGACAAAGCAUAGUGCUAAGUGAAUCGUAGGAGACAAGAGCUUCGUCAGUCAACCUAAAUCAGAAAACCCUAAUAUGGUGAGCCCUAAAUCUUCAUGAACUCGCCAAACCGGAAGCAAACUCGCGAUUUCAGUCGAGUCUACCGAUUCUACCAUCGAGCUCACCG